UACUUCCGGGUUCGUAGGAACACAGUUGGACAGUCAGAGUCAGCUUUAUUUAUGAUCUACUCACUAUGCCGAUGGGGGGGGUGUGGGACUGUAGGUGACAUGUUUGAGUCCACAAAAUACUUUUGGAGUUUAAGGGGUAAACAGCCUUGCAGCCAAAUCCAAUUGCAAAAGAAGUAAAUGGUGACCAAUUGUGUGUGAGCCCCCCCCCACCUUCAAAUUCAACAUGAAGCGUUGUCAUUUACACCGUGUGUUUAGCCUAAAUGUUCUUUGUGUUCCUCCUCCUAGUUACUACUGCAGUUCAUAUAUAAAUAUAUAUUCUUUUAGAAACCAAACUCCAUGUCGCACAUGUAUGUUUGACAUGACUCUUUGUUUCCUUUAGUUAUAGCACACAGAUAAACUCUGUAUAAAGCUGAUUGAAAUUGUUGUUUUCAUCUUUUUGUAUCCCUUUCUCUUCCUUCUCUUGCCAGGGGCGGAUCCAGAAGCGGGACCAGGGGGGGGCACUGACCACAGCUGAAAUCUGGUUAGCCUCCGAAGUGUCUCUGUCUUGUCGAGGCAGUUUUGUUUUCUCCCCCAACUUCUUGUUUGUUGUGGGAACUGUUGUGGUUUCUCAGUGUAAGUGUAACAGUGUAAGUUCUCAACCUCAUUUGACACUAAAUUAAAAUUGAAUUGAAGACUA